rnacentral:rRNA from 1 species
UACAGAGGUCUCAAGCGUUGUUCGGAAUUACUGGGCGUAAAGGGUGCGCAGACGGCUAGACAAGUCAAAGGUGAAAUCCCUCGGCUCAACUGAGGAACUGCCUUUGAAACUGUCUGGCUUGAGGCCGGGAGGGGGGUAGCGGAAUUCCCAGUGUAGCGGUGAAAUGCGUAGAUAUUGGGAGGAACACCAGUGGCGAAGGCGGCUACCUGGACCGGUUCUGACGCUGAUGCGCGAAAGCGUGGGUAGCAAACAGG